UCUGGAGGCAGCCUGAGAGUGACUCGGGAAAGCACAGCGCUGGGAACACAGCUGGGCUCGGGACAGCUGGUGCAGCAUCAGCCACGACUGGGACAGAGGGACCAGGUACCGGAUGGCAAGGUGGAGAGGACCUCCCUGGAGUAGAUUAUACCACUGCAAACCGUGUUGUGCACUUUCCACCUCCCUUGCAUGUGCCUUGUUGGGAAGAGAUGCUCACCAGAGAAGAAAAUGGUGCCUGGGACAGGGAGUUUGUUGAGAGACAUCCAUGUCUCCUUGCCACAAUUUCCUGAGUGGAUUCUGCCUUGUGUCCCCU
rnacentral:lncRNA from 1 species